UACUGAGCACUCAUGUCACAAAGGA
rnacentral:piRNA from 1 species